AGGCAACCUACGAGUGCGUAACGACAGAAGUGGUGUUGUUCUUCACAGUCUGUGGGUGCUUUCUCUUGUCAGGAUGCCAGUACGCACCGGUGGUCACAAAGAAGAAGACUCAGAUCAAGAAUGCGAGGAACGAAGAGACACAUUCUAUAUUUGAGAGGCUAGUGUGCACCGCAGUAGCAAGGCACGUGUGGAAUGUCAUGCGGCACAGUGAAAUAAUACCCGCUGACUUGCCGAUCCUUGGCAGAGUGAGCCGCUGCCGCGUCUU